AGGAACUAAUUGCGCUUGAACUACAAAGGUGGGAAACAGGAACUACUUGCGCUCGAACUGCCAGCUGAGUUGCAUCCAGUGAGGCCUUUCCAUACAAUGUGGACAACAAGCUGAUCAGUACGUAGCUGAACACCAUCAAGAACCUGAGGCGAAAGUUUGGUAUACAAUCUGCGCCUGGACAACAGCCUGACGAAGAAGCUCAUAUAUGGGAAGAAAUCAGAUUAAGGUGAGAAAGAAAAAUAGUACUUUUGAUAUACUUUUGAAAUCAGAUUAAGCUCAAAUAUGACGUUUGGUAUGCAAUCUGCGCCUCGACGAUGCAUUCUAGUUAUGCAAAUCAACUUUACGAGGCAUGAGCAAAAAAUGAAAUAAAAUAGAAUAAACAGGAAAAAGUGAUUGUAAUGUCAGAGAUCCCUGUUUUUAUUUAUUUUUUUUUUUUUGGGUUUUUGGGAUCCAAUUCCAAGCAUACUUGAGGUGGAUCCAGCGCCGUUUGACAGAUAAAUGACGCAACUGAAUCGGGCCCAAGAUCAGGUUCUCUUGAGUACUGGAUCCAUGCCUGGAUCUAAUGGCGGAUGGUUUCGUAACUUUCAGUUCAUUUUACAUUUUGUUAAGGCUGUGUAAACUAUAAAAUAGGCAUAUUUAAAUCCUGUUUGAUAAUUCAAUUCAUUACUUAACUUUAAUGGAUUCAAAUC